rnacentral:lncRNA from 1 species
GUGCCUUUUCAUCCAGCUUCCCCAGGAUCCGCACGCAGAAGGGGUUAAUCUCUCUUGUUGAAAGACGGAAGAACCUCAGAUAAAUACCGCUUCCUGGCGUGAGGUGGCUGACACCACUCUGAUGCGCCACGUAAAUGGUCUGAGACCAAGAGGGAAGAGGGCAGCCCACCCGUCCAGCACCCCACGGUCCCAGUGCCCCGCCCUCCCAGGAUGCUGGCCUCUUCUCCGCUCCUGGAGCUGUCUUGUGGCCUGAAGCAGAGGGAGUGGCGCUACCACCCCAAGGCGGCAGCCCUGGGGAUGCCGAGUCCUGCCAUCUUCGUGUGGAGGCCCCAGGGCCUUCCUGCUGCUUCGCAGCUGGGAACCUGCCUGGGGGACUGAAGCAGGGUGAGUCAGGAACUGAGGCAAACCAGCCCGUCUGCAUCAGAUUUACCGCGUUGCUCGGCCAGCUUUCUCCUUACCAGAGAAGCCGAGAGGAGAAAUGAGGAUGUAAAGCGAAGGAACAGCCCAGGGAUGGACGGGCCCGGGGAGCGGGCCUGCCCAGGCCAGGUGGGGAAGGCGUCAUGACGCCCCGCUCCUCCCCGGGCAGCUUCCCCGCGCUCCUGCGUGCUCCUCUGAAAAGAACGAGGCUUUUCCCUCUGUGGUGACAUCACACACACCCAGGGCUUGAGUCUUCCAGACCCGGGACCCGGCCUCUGAGACCUGGAAGUCCUCGUCCCACCCAGCAGGUCGCCCGCCACCUGAGUCUCCCCAGGUGCAGCGUUUCUGACUUCCAGGGUUAGGGGUCUGUGAGCGCAAGGCUAGUGUGACAUCCAACAGAGAAGGAAAGAAAAGGGCUGCCGGGACGCAGAAGAGAAGUGAAAAGCACUAGACUCCCCUCUCCCAGGAGACUGCCACGCGUCAAUGGAAGGGAGGUCUCUCUCUGUAAGCUCCCUCAGGUGCCCCAAAUGCCGCCUCGUUUUAGUUUGCUUCAGGUGUAGACCUUGACUUUCAUGCACAACUAUUUGUUUCUCCCAGAGUUAGUAAUACCUUCCUUUUAAUUUUACGUAUUUAGUUGUAAAUAGGAAAUAGACUUUUAAAAAA